GACGAAGGGGGCUAGCGUUGUUCGGAAUUACUGGGCGUAAAGCGCGUGUAGGCGGUUGUCCAAGUUGGAUGUGAAAGCCUUGAGCUUAACUCAAGAAAUGCAUUCAGGACUGGAUGACUAGAGGACCGGAGAGGACAGUGGAAUUCCCAGUGUAGUGGUGAAAUACGUAGAGAUUGGGAAGAACACCAGUGGCGAAGGCGGCUAUCUGGACGGUUUCUGACGCUAAGACGCGAAAGCGUGGGGAGCAAACAGG
rnacentral:rRNA from 1 species